rnacentral:rRNA from 1 species
UACCGGAGGGAGCUAGCGUUUAUUCGGAAAGUUACUGGGCGUAAAGCGCACGUAGGGCGGCUUUGGUAAGUUAGAGGUGAAAGCCUGGAGCUCAACUCCAGAAUUGCCUUUAAGACUGCAUCGCUUGAAUCCAGGAGAGGUGAGUGGAAUUCCGAGUGUAGAGGUGAAAUUCGUAGAUAUUCGGAAGAACACCAGUGGCGAAGGCGGCUCACUGGACAGGUAUUGACGCUGAGGGUGCGAAAAGCG